rnacentral:rRNA from 1 species
GCUCAAAUUUGAAAUCUGGCCCUCGGGUCCGAGUUGUAAUUUGUAGAGGAUGCUUUUGGUGCGGUGCCUUCCGAGUUCCCUGGAACGGGACGCCUUAGAGGGUGAGAGCCCCGUACGGUUGGACGCCUAGCCUCUGUAAAGCUCCUUCGACGAGUCGAGUAGUUUGGGAAUGCUGCUCUAAAUGGGAGGUAUAUUUCUUCUAAAGCUAAAUACUGGCCAGAGACCGAUAGCGCACAAGUAGAGUGAUCGAAAGAUGAAAAGCACUUUGAAAAGAGGGUUAAAUAGCACGUGAAAUUGUUGAAAGGGAAGCGUUUAUCACCAGACUUUUUCUAGGGGGAUCAUCCGGCGUUCUCGCCGGUGCACUUCCCCUAGUUGAGGCCAGCAUCGGUUUUCGGAGGGGGAUAAAAGCUUCGGGAAUGUGACUCCCUCGGGAGUGUUAUAGCCCGUUGCAUAAUACCCUUCUGGGGACCGAGGUUCGCGCAUCUGCAAGGAUGCUGGCAUAAUGGUGAUCAACGACCCGUCUUGAAACACGGACCAAGGAGUCGAACAUUUAUGCGAGUGUUUGGGUGUCAAACCCUCACGCGUAAUGAAAGUGAACGGAGGUGAGAGCCCUUACGGGUGCAUCAUCGACCGAUCCUGAUGUCUUCGGAUGGAUUUGAGUAAGAGCAUAACUGUUCGGACCCGAAAGAUGGUGAACUAUGCGUGGAUAGGGUGAAGCCAGGAGAAAUCCUGGUGGAGGCUCGCAGCGGUUCUGACGUGCAAAUCGAUCGUCAAAUCUGCGCAUGGGGGCGAAAGACUAAUCGAACCAUCUAGUAGCUGGUUACCGCCGAAGUUUCCCUCAGGAUAGCAGUGUUGUAUUCAGUUUUAUGAGGUAAAGCGAAUGAUUAGGGACUCGGGGGCGCUAUAUUGCCUUCAUCCAUUCUCAAACUUUAAAUAUGUAAGAAGC